AUACAGAGGGUGCGAGCGUUAAUCGGAAUUACUGGGCGUAAAGCGCGCGUAGGCGGUCUAUUAAGUCAGAUGUGAAAUCCCAGGGCUCAACCUUGGAACUGCAUCUGAUACUGGUAGACUAGAGUUUUGGAGAGGGAAGUAGAAUUUCAGGUGUAGCGGUGAAAUGCAUAGAGAUCUGAAGGAAUACCAGUGGCGAAGGCGACUUCCUGGCCAAAAACUGACGCUGAGGUGCGAAAGCGUGGGUAGCAAACGGAAUUAGAAACCCGGGUAGUCC
rnacentral:rRNA from 1 species